rnacentral:rRNA from 1 species
UAGGGAAUCUUGCGCAAUGGGCGAAAGCCUGACGCAGCGACGCCGCGUGAGGGAUGAAGGCCUUCGGGUUGUAAACCUCUUUCAGCAGGGACGAAGCGAAAGUGACGGUACCUGCAGAAGAAGCCCCGGCCAACUACGUGCCAGCAGCCGCGGUAAUACGUAGGGGGCGAGCGUUGUCCGGAUUUAUUGGGCGUAAAGCGCGCGUAGGCGGCCGACCACGUCGGGUGUAAAAGCUCGGGGCUCAACCCCGAGAGGCCAUUCGAUACGGGUUGGCUAGAGGCAGCUAGGGGAGAGCGGAAUUCCUGGUGUAGCGGUGAAAUGCGCAGAUAUCAGGAGGAACACCGGUGGCGAAGGCGGCUCUCUGGGGCUGUCCUGACGCUGAGGCGCGAAAGCUGGGGGAGCGAACAGG